GUGGAACAUGUGGCUUAAUUUGACUCAACACGGGAAAUCUUACCAGGUCCGGACACAUUAAGGAUUGACAGAUUAAAAUUUAAAUAUAAAAUAUGAUAGUUCUUUCAUGAUUAUGUGAUAGGUGGUGCAUGGCCGUUCUUAGUUCGUGGAGUGAUUUGUCUGCUUAAUUGCGUUUCAUUAAAAAAAAUAAAAAUACUUAAAUAUGAUUUUAUAUAAAUUAUAUUUUAAUAGUAUUUAUAAAUAUUGAAUGCAACGAACGUGACCG
rnacentral:rRNA from 1 species